rnacentral:rRNA from 1 species
GACGAACGCUGGCGGCGUGCUUAACACAUGCAAGUCGAACGGAAAGGCCCUGCUUUUGUGGGGUGCUCGAGUGGCGAACGGGUGAGUAACACGUGAGUAACCUGCCCUUGACUUUGGGAUAACUUCAGGAAACUGGGGCUAAUACCGGAUAGGAUCUCCUGCUGCAUGGUGGGGGUUGGAAAGUUUCGGCGGUUGGGGAUGGACUCGCGGCUUAUCAGCUUGUUGGUGGGGUAGUGGCUUACCAAGGCUUUGACGGGUAGCCGGCCUGAGAGGGUGACCGGCCACAUUGGGACUGAGAUACGGCCCAGACUCCUACGGGAGGCAGCAGUGGGGAAUAUUGCACAAUGGGCGGAAGCCUGAUGCAGCAACGCCGCGUGCGGGAUGACGGCCUUCGGGUUGUAAACCGCUUUCGCCUAUGACGAAGCGUGAGUGACGGUAAUGGGUAAAGAAGCACCGGCUAACUACGUG